GACGAACGCUGGCGGCGUGCUUAACACAUGCAAGUCGAGCGGUAAGGCCCUUUCGGGGGUACACGAGCGGCGAACGGGUGAGUAACACGUGGGUGACCUGCCCUCAGCUCUGGGAUAAGCCCGGGAAACUGGGUCUAAUACUGGAUAUGACUCCAUGACGCAUGUUGUGGGGUGGAAAGCCUUGUGCGGCUGAGGAUGGGGCCCGCGGCCUAUCAGCUUGUUGGGGGGUGAUGGCCUACCAAGGCGACGACGGGUAGCCGGCCUGAGAGGGCGACCGGCCACACUGGGACUGAGACACGGCCCAGACUCCUACGGGAGGCAGCAGUGGGGAAUCUUGCGCAAUGGGCGAAAGCCUGACGCAGCGACGCCGCGUGAGGGAUGACGGCCU
rnacentral:rRNA from 1 species